AAAGAAAGAAAAAGAAAAAGAAAAAGAAGAAAUUGAAAAACAUAAAAACGUGAGUUUUCCUUCUCCAUAGCUCCAUCUCAGUUUUCUCUUCACAAAAACCCACCCAUGGAUUUCUAAAUAAAAAAUGGGUUAUUGAACACAAACAAACUUAUUUGCAAAUAAAAUUCAUUAAUCAAACCAAAUCACUCAAUCACCCAUUCAAAAAUCAAAAUGAGUUUCUUGCACACAAUCAAACUCAUCUUCAAAUAUAUAUUCAUACUCAACCCAAAUCACCCAACAACCCAUUUUUGGUAAUUCAAUUCCAUCAAUUCAUUUGGGCAGAAAUUGAAACUCAACCAUGGCUAUAAAUAGCCAUGUUCAUCUCCUCAAACCAUUCACUCAAACCAUUUGAGUUUUCGUCGGAAAACCGCCACCCAAACCACCCUCAAAUUCAUCUGUUUUUUCGCAAUUCUCUCUUUCUCUCUCUUUUGUUUUCGCUCAACCACUGCAGCACCACCACCCACCGCCACCGUCGCAAUAACCACUACCCCCUGAUUCUGCGCGAAACAAGAACCACCCACCGCGGCGCCAACCCAGCCGUAUUUCUUCUCUCUCUCGCUCAGCUCCUCUCUUCCUCGCCCAAUUCGUUCUCUCUCUCCUCUGUUUUGUCUGCUGCUCGCACCGUCGAGCCACCACCGCAUCCGCACCUCUCGUCGUGCUGUCACUUUUCUGCCUCGCCUCGCCUUCAGUCGCCGGAGCUUCGUUGUUCCUCCACUGCUCUCUGGUUCGACGUGAUGUCGUGAUUGAAGCAGAGAUUAAAAAGGAAGAGAUAUUACAAGCGUUCCCCUACGAUCAAGGUUGUUAAGCAGGAUUCCAGGUAUGCAUACGAAGAUGGGAUGACGUAGCAGUGAGGAUUAAAUUACUUUAAUGCGACUAUGACGGUUAUGAAAUCCAAGUUUAUGAUCACUAGAUUACGUAGCAUCA